AGAGUUUGAUCCUGGCUCAGAAUAAAUGCUAUUGGUAUGCUUAACACAUGCAAGUCUAAUGUUUUAUUUAAAUAAAACAUGGCGAACGGGUGAGUAACGCGUGAAUUAUCUACCUUUUAAUUCAGAAUAAUUAUUUUAAUAAAAAUACUGAAUAAAUGAUUAAAGUUAUAAAAACGUUAAAAGAUGAGUUUGCGUAAGAUUAGGUAGUUGGUAGUUUAAAAGACUUACCAAGCCUAUAAUCUUUAGCUGGUUUGAAAGAACGAUCAGCCACAUUGGGACUGAGAAUGGCCCAAACUUUUUUAAAGGCAGCAGUGAGGAAUUUUGGACAAUGAGCGAAAGCUUGAUCCAGCAAUAUCAAGUGAGUGAAGAAGGCUAAAUAGGUUGUAAAACUCUUUCAUUAAGGAGGAAAAUGACAGUACUUAAAGAAGAAGUUCUGGCUAAUACCCGUGCCAGCAGUCGCGGUAAUACGGGAAGAGCGAGCAUUAUUCAAAAUGAUUAGGCGUAAAGGGUUUGUAGGUUGUUUUUUAAGUUGAAAGAAACAAAUUAAAGCUUAACUUUAUAAAUUUUUUCAAAACUGAAAAACUAGAGUAUAAAUAGAGGAUAAUAGAAUUUCUAUUGUAGGGAUAAAAUCUAAUGAUAAUAGAAGGAAUACCAAAAGCGAAGGCAAUUAUCUGGGUAUAUACUGACACUGAGAAACGAAAGCUUGGGGAGCGAACGGGAUUAGAUACCCCGGUAGUCCAUGCCGUAAACGAUGAGUGCUAAUAUUUAGAAUUUUUUUUAGAUAAUAAAGCUAACGCGUUAAGCACUCCGCCUGAAAAGUACGAUCGCAAGGUUGAAAUUCAAAGGAAUUGACGGGAGUCUACACAAGCGGUGGAGCAUGUGGUUUAAUUCGAUAAUACGCGCAGAACCUUACCAACUCUUGCAAAUUGAAUUAAAAAUUAAAUUUAGUUUAAACAGGUGUUGCAUGGCUGUCGUCAGUCCGUGUUGUGAAAUGUUUGGUUAAUUCCUUUAACGGACGCAACCCUUAUUUUUAGUUGCUAUUUUAUUUUAAAAAAUUAAUAACUUUUAUAUAAAAGCACUCUAAAAAAACAGUCAAUGAUAAAUUGAAGGAAGGUGGGGAUGAAGUCAAGUCUUUAUGGCCCUUAUGAGUUGGGCUACACACGUGCUACAAUGGUAAUUACAAUAAGAUGCAAUAAUUAAAAUUGGAGCUAAUCUUUAAAAGUUAUCUUAGUUCGGAUUAUGGGCUGCAACUCGCCCAUAUGAAGCUGGAAUCGCUAGUAAUCGCAGAACAGCAUGCUGCGGUGAAUAUGUUACUAGACUUUGUACACACCGCCCGUCACAUCCAGGAAAUUGAUUAUUUUUGAAGUAAUUAAAAAUUAAAUUUAAUAAAAUAUUAAUUUAUAAAUAAAUAAAUAUACGUUAAUAUAAAAAUUAAAUUUAUGUUUUAUCUCUAAAAAAUAAUGGGUAACUCGGAUGAAGUCGUAACAAGGUAGUCGUAGGGGAACCUGUGGCUG
rnacentral:rRNA from 1 species